rnacentral:lncRNA from 1 species
UAUUUUAUCACAUAUCUUUUUAAUCAUGUCUUUUUAUUUUCUGUAUUCCCGAUGUUUGGGCAUCUAGGAUCUUGCCUCGCUGACCCUGGAGAGACCGCCACUCUCAGUGCUGCCCAGCUCCUGGAGACAAACCAGGAAGAAGUCUGCCGUCUUCCAGUCCAUGCCCGGGCCCACCUCAUCUUCCACCCUAGAAUGACUGACUGUGGAAACAUCUGGUUCCUUCAACCUCAUCCACCAGGUGCUCUUUAGCCUUAGGAGGUCGGCAAGGCGAGAGUACCACUUUCAAAGACAUACUUCAAAGUCUGGUUUAUGUAAUUAAAAGAACCUGGGUGUGGGUGGCCAGCAGUUCAGCCGUGGUCACGCUCUUACAAGACCCUUGUGGGACAUGACUGCAGCAUGAAGGUAAGAGAAGGUCAGAUCUGGCUCCCAACUCUUCUAAACUGAUCUGUGGGAAAACUUCUAUGUAAAGGACAUUCGAACCUCCCAACGGGAGGGGGCAAUUUUCAGGCAUAAGACUAAAUCCAUAUUUAGGAAAAAAAUUUUAUCUGUCUCUGUCUCUGCAAGGGUAUAUUUAUGCCAAAGACAGCAAAAUGUACAUUGAUCAAUGGUGCAUUUAGUGUGUUUGUCUGAAAUACUAGCUUUCAGAUUAAUGGUGACUUAGUAUCUUUCUCUAGAACAGUAAGUAGUUAUUACGUUUAUGAGAGUAUUCUGGUGAUUUUCCUAAAGCAAAAGAAUCUGCUCCCAAGAUGAAUUAAUGUUUCCACUAACACUUUGAGAGGAUGUAUUUCCAGUAAAGAAAAAAAAAAAAAAAAAACUUGACUUCACUGAACACCCCAUUCUAAGGGUGAGAAAGACCUUUAUCCAGACUGGGGACAAGAGGGAGUGAGGAUGGAGAAGCGUUCAGGACAGGGAAUGACUGAAGAGCUCGCCAGAGUUUAGAUCGGGAGCCGAGUGAACGGGGCCGGGAGGCCAGGAGACAGUGAUCCAGGCAGAUGGGAAAACAUUACUGAACUCUUAGAGACCAGAGAGAAAGAGGGUGCCUCUAAGAGGAGGUGACAUUUUGGUUGUGAGGUCCUGGAGGGGGUAACAUUUUGGUUGGGCAGUUUUGACAUUCACACCUAUUUCAUGACUCUAAAAACAAACAUACAAACAAAAAAACCAUUAAACUUUGAUUUUUGAAAAUCACUAGGCAGUUUGUAAAACAGACACUCUCACCUCACCUCUUACUCUCGAAGAUGGAAGGGCACCACAGAGAGAGGUUAUGUUGAAAAUGCAAUCAACUGUAUGCUCUAUCAAAGACUACGUAGUUUGUAGACUAUGUGAAAAUGGAUAUAAAAUAUCUUAUUUUCUGAGGCUUUAUCACAAAAUUUCUCUGUACCUAAUACCAUGCCUGCAGUAUUCUAUAUCUAUUGAUGAAUGAAUGAUUAUGGGACGGUUAUAAAGGAUUUUAAUAUAAUUCCUCAAAUAGGUGUCUCAUUUCUAAUUCUCCCAUACCCAAAUAAGAGAUUUAACUACCUUAAUGUGAUGAUCUUACUAUAUUAUCUCAUUUGAUCAUCCUAACAACUCCAUAAAGUAUAUAUGGCAUAUAAUUUUCAUUUUAUGGCUGUAGAGACCUAAGCUCAAGGUAAGUGAUCCAAGGUCAUGAUUAGAAAUGAAAAAAAAGGUGAAUUUUGAAUCUAGGUGUACUGCUUCUAGUUCCUUCAUAAUUUAUACAUUCAGCAAACAUCCGCUGCAAUCUCUGUUGAAACCUCAGCUCAAACCACCAAGUCACACCGGACAGUAACUGAGAAAUAGGUUCUGUUGUUGACUAGAACCAUCUUAUGAACUGAAUCGAAGGUUUCCAAUAUUUGUCACAAAUAAAGACUUUUGGGGGAGAUUCUGGCUAAUCAAUUGUAUAUUAUGCCAAAUUGUUUUAUUUUGAGAUAUAAAGAAGUGUUGAUUGCCUUUGGUGAUCCCAGCCACCAAAAAGGUUGUGAGGCCUUCCCACAACCCCUCAACGUCUCAUACAUGUAUUUCAAAACAAUUUUUUAAAAUUUUGUUUAUUUAUUGAGAGAGAGAGAGUGAGAGAGCAUGAACAGGGUGAGGUUUAGAGGGGAAAGGGAAAGGGAGAAGCAGACACCCCACUGAGCAGGGAGCCUGAUGCUGGCCUCAGUCCUGUGACUCAGGGAUCAUGACCUGAGCCAAAGGCAAAAACUUAACUGACCGAGCCACCCAGGAGACACCCCCCCCCAAUUUUUAAAAUUAUGAUCCAUAAUGUCAGUAUAAUGUAGUUCAUUAAAGUCUACGUUCAACCCACUACUUGUAAACGCUUUUUGGCAUUCUGUGGUACGCGAAGCACACACUUAAGUUUGCUCUCUGCUCUUUGCUUAUUCUAAUCUGGGAUACAGAUGCCCAUUUUCACAUUUUCUUUCUUUCUUUCUUUCUUUCUUUCUUUCUUUCUUUCCGUCUUCUUUUUGAGAUCUAUUUAUUUAUUAUUUUUUAAAAGACUUUAUUUAUGUAUUUGGCAGACAGAGAUCACAAGUAAACAGAGAGACAGGCAGAGAGAGAGGAGGAAGCAAGCUCCCCACUGAGCAGAGAGCCUGAUGCGGGGCUCGAUCCCAGGACCCUGGGAUCGAAGGCAGAGGCUUUAACCCAUUGAGCCACCUGAGCCGAAGGCAGAGGCUUUAACCCAUUGAGCCACGCGGGUGCCCCUAUUUAUUUAUUUUAGAGAGGGAGAGGGGGAGAGCAGGAGAAGGGGCAGAGGGAGAGAGAGAAUCUCAAGGAGACACUGAGCUUGGGGCCAGACAAGGAACUUGAUCUUAGGACCCUGAGGUCAUGACCUGAGCCAACACUGAGAGUCGGCCACUUAACUGACUGAACCCGCCAGGUACCCCUGUCCAUUUUCUGUAGCAUUGUGCCCUACUUGUAAACCUGUUGGUUGAUUUGGAAACCAAGGAUCAGUUGGCAAACUAACUUUCUGGUUGAAGGCUAUAAUUCUGUUCUCAAGUGGAGAGUAAUUAUUGCCUUUUGGGCUUCAAAGGGAAUAAGCUACUAAAGUCGCCUCCCCCUCUCCCGGGUGGGUAGAAUGGCCGACAUGGUGUGCUAUAUAACUGAUUGUGUUACUAGCAUGCCAUAGAGAUCUUCUUCAAAGAUUGUGGUCUAUGUAUUUUGGUAUAGGAAAUGUUGACACUUUUGAAAAUAAACAUUUGAAAAGGUUCUUGCUACUCCCGGUGACCUGGAAAUAAACAUUUUUGAAAUGUUUCUGGAAGAUAAAGUAUUCUUGGCUGCAUGUUCUUCUCAUUUAGUGCCCUAAAUAUAUCUUGCCAGCCCUUUCUGGCUUGCCAGGUUUCUGUGGACAGGUCUGGCGUUAUUCUGAUGGGCUUCCUCUGUACGUAAGGAGCUUCUUUGUCCUAGCUACCUUCAAGAGAGCCUGUUUACAAUUAUAAUUCCUCAUUCUUACUAUUAGGUGUCUCGAGGACUUUUGAGAUUCUAUAAUCUUGGAGGGAGACCAUUCUGCCUAUAGUACAUGAACACUGGUACCAUUUGCGAGAUUGGGAAAAUUUUCAUGGAGAAUUUGUUCCACUAUAUCUUCUAGACUUCUUUCUUUCUCCUUCCCCUCAGGGAUUCCAAUAAUUUUGACGUUGGAAUGUUUCUGCCAUUUUGAAACUUGAGCCUUCAUUAAUUACUUUUAAAUUAGUUGUGGGAACUAAUCUUAUAAUUGUAACCUACCAAUAAAGCUUUCUACUCUUUUUAAAGAAACGUAUUAUGACCAAUUUGAAAUAUAUAAUU